AACGAACGCUGGCGGCAGGCCUAACACAUGCAAGUCGAGCGAGGACUUCGGUCCUAGCGGCGGACGGGUGAGUAACGCGUGGGAACGUGCCCUUUGCUUCGGAAUAGCCCUGGGAAACUGGGAGUAAUACCGGAUGAGCCCUUUGGGGGAAAGAUUUAUCGGCGAAGGAUCGGCCCGCGUUGGAUUAGGUAGUUGGUGGGGUAAUGGCCUACCAAGCCGACGAUCCAUAGCUGGUUUGAGAGGAUGAUCAGCCACACUGGGACUGAGACACGGCCCAGACUCCGACGGGAGGCAGCAGUGGGGAAUCUUAGACAAUGGGGGAAACCCUGAUCUAGCCAGGCCGCGUGAGCGAUGAAGGCCUUAGGGUUGUAAAGCUCUUUCAGCUGGGAAGAUAAUGACGGUACCAGCAGAAGAAGCCCCGGCUAACUCCGUG
rnacentral:rRNA from 1 species